rnacentral:rRNA from 1 species
UAGAGUUUUAUCCUGGCUCAGAUUGAACGCUGGCGGCAGGCCUAACACAUGCAAGUCGAGCGGUAGCACAAGGAGCUUGCUCCUGGGUGACGAGCGGCGGACGGGUGAGUAAUGUCUGGGAAACUGCCCGAUGGAGGGGGAUAACUACUGGAAACGGUAGCUAAUACCGCAUAACGUCUUCGGACCAAAGUGGGGGACCUUCGGGCCUCACACCAUCGGAUGUGCCCAGAUGGGAUUAGCUAGUAGGUGAGGUAAUGGCUCACCUAGGCGACGAUCCCUAGCUGGUCUGAGAGGAUGACCAGCCACACUGGAACUGAGACACGGUCCAGACUCCUACGGGAGGCAGCAGUGGGGAAUAUUGCACAAUGGGCGCAAGCCUGAUGCAGCCAUGCCGCGUGUGUGAAGAAGGCCUUCGGGUUGUAAAGCACUUUCAGCGAGGAGGAAGGGUUCGGUGUUAAUAGCACCGUUCAUUGACGUUACUCGCAGAAGAAGCACCGGCUAAUGCCGUG